rnacentral:rRNA from 1 species
UAGGGAAUCUUCGGCAAUGGGGGGAACCCUGACCGAGCAACGCCGCGUGAGUGAAGAAGGUUUUCGGAUCGUAAAGCUCUGUUGUUAAGGAAGAACGAGUGUGAGAAUGGAAAGUUCAUACUGUGACGGUACUUAACCAGAAAGGGACGGCUAACUACGUGCCAGCAGCCGCGGUAAUACGUAGGUGGCAAGCGUUGUCCGGAUUUAUUGGGCGUAAAGCGAGCGCAGGCGGUCAAUUAAGUCUGAUGUGAAAGCCCCCGGCUCAACCGGGGAGGGUCAUUGGAAACUGGUUGACUUGAGUGCAGAAGAGGAGAGUGGAAUUCCAUGUGUAGCGGUGAAAUGCGUAGAUAUAUGGAGGAACACCAGUGGCGAAGGCGACUCUCUGGUCUGUAACUGACGCUGAGGCUCGAAAGCGUGGGUAGCAAACAGGA